UACGAAGGGGACUAGCGUUGUUCGGAAUCACUGGGCGUAAAGCGCACGUAGGCGGAUAUGUCAGUCAGGGGUGAAAGUCCCGGGGCUCAACCUCGGGAACUGCCUUUGAUACAGCAUAUCUUGGAGUCCGAUAGAGGUGGGUGGAAUUCCUAGUGUAGAGGUGAAAUUCGUAGAGAUCGGGAAGAACAUCGGUGGCGAAGGCGGCCAGCUGGGCCAUUGC
rnacentral:rRNA from 1 species